CGGGUGAGUAAUACAUCGGAACGUGCCCUGUAGUGGGGGAUAACUAGUCGAAAGAUUAGCUAAUACCGCAUACGACCUGAGGGUGAAAGUGGGGGACCGCAAGGCCUCAUGCUAUAGGAGCGGCCGAUGUCUGAUUAGCUAGUUGGUGGGGUAAAGGCCUACCAAGGCGACGAUCAGUAGCUGGUCUGAGAGGACGAUCAGCCACACUGGGACUGAGACACGGCCCAGACUCCUACGGGAGGCAGCAGCU
rnacentral:rRNA from 1 species